CCCACCAUGAAGUCCAGUGGCCUCCUCCUUCUGGCGCUUCUUGUCCUGGGAACCCUGGCACCGUGGGCUGUGGAAGCUGACGGAGAUGGGACGAAGCCUGGCCAGUGUGUAAGAAUACCUGGACCCUGCUAUAUGCGGAACACUGACAACCUCUGUGAUACAGAUGGCGAUUGUCCGGGCAACUUAAAGUGCUGCGAGGUCAUGUGUAAGAACAUGUGCAUUGUCCCUGUGUAGGUAAACUUAGGAAAAAUUGAGCCAUGAAGUUGGUUUACGUUGAAGCUCCAACAUGAUUUCCCCUCACAUCUGAUGCUGCCACUGAAAGUAACUUUGGGUUAUGCCCUGUGUGUUCUGGGAAUUCGCUCUCCCCAACCAGACCCCAUCAUGACACUUUCCAAGGUGAAGACCAGGUUCUACCACCGGUGUCUCCUUUGGAGAAAGGCUUGACACACAGUUGCUUUCAGGAAAUGCCUAUUGUUUGUUGAAUGAAUAAAUGUUUCU